rnacentral:rRNA from 1 species
UAAGGAAUAUUGGACAAUGGGCGAAAGCCUGAUCCAGCCAUGCCGCGUGAAGGAUGAAGGCGCUCAGCGUUGUAAACUUCUUUUGGAUGGGAACAAUAACUCCGACUUGUCGGAACUUGAGGGUACCAUCAGAAUAAGCACCGGCUAACUCCGUGCCAGCAGCCGCGGUAAUACGGAGGGUGCAAGCGUUAUCCGGAAUCACUGGGUUUAAAGGGUGCGUAGGCGGUCUAAUAAGUCAGUCGUGAAAUCGCUGGGCUCAACCCAUGCAAUUGCGAUUGAUACUGCUAGACUUGAAUGGGGUUGAGGCUGGCGGAAUGCGACAUGUAGCGGUGAAAUGCUUAGAUAUGUCGCAGAACACCGAUUGCGAAGGCAGCCAGCUGGGCCUUUAUUGACGCUGAGGCACGAAAGCGUGGGGAGCAAACAGG